rnacentral:rRNA from 1 species
UUAAAUUAAGGAAUUCGGCAAAUAUAUUUUUCGCCUGUUUAUUAAAAACAUGUCUUUUUGAAUAUAAUUUAAAGUCUAACCUGCCCACUGAAUUUUUAAUGGCCGCAGUAUUUUGACUGUGCAAAGGUAGCAUAAUAAUUAGUUUUUUAAUUGAAAGCUGGAAUGAAUGGUUGAACGAAAGAAUUUCUGUCUCAAUUUAAUUUUAUUAGAAUUUUAUUUUUAAGUUAAAAAGCUUAAAUUUUAUUAAAAGACGAGAAGACCCUAUAGAGUUUUAUAGUUUAUAUUUAUAAAUUAAUUUAGUAUUUUAAUAUUUUUAUUUAAUAAAUUAUUUUAUUGGGGUGAUAGAAAAAUUUAAUUAACUUUUUUUUUAUUUUAACAUUAAUAUAUGAAUUAUUGAUCCAUUUAUAUGAUUAAAAGAUUAAAUUACCUUAGGGAUAACAGCGUUAUUUCUUUUAAGAGUUCUAAUCGAAAAAGGAGUUUGCGACCUCGAUGUUGGAUUAAAAUAAAUUUUGGUGUAGAAGCUAAAGGUUUUAGGUCUGUUCGACCUUUAAAAUUUUACAUGAUCUGAGUUUAGACCGGUGUGAGCCAGGUUGGUUUCUAUCUUUAAUAAAAAUUAUAUUUUAGUACGAAAGGACCAAAUAUA